AGCGAACGCUGGCGGCAGGCCUAACACAUGCAAGUCGAACGAACCCUUCGGGGUUAGUGGCGGACGGGUGAGUAACACGUGGGAACGUGCCUUUAGGUUCGGAAUAACUCAGGGAAACUUGUGCUAAUACCGAAUGUGCCCUUCGGGGGACAGAUUUAUCGCCUUUAGAGCGGCCCGCGUCUGAUUAGCUAGUUGGUGAGGUAAAGGCUCACCAAGGCUACGAUGAGUAGCUGGUCUGAGAGGAUGACCAGCCACAUUGGGACUGAGACACGGCCCGAACUACUACGGGAGGCAGCAGUGGUGAAUCUUGCGCAAUAGGCGAAAGCCUGACGCAGCCAUGCCGCGUGGAUGAUGAAGGUCUUAGGAUUGUAAAAUCCUUUCACCGGUGAAGAUAAUGACUGUAGCCGGAGAAGAAGCCCCGGCUAACUUCGUGCCUGCCGCAGCAGUAAUAC
rnacentral:rRNA from 1 species